rnacentral:rRNA from 1 species
AUUGAACGCUGGCGGCAGGCCUAACACAUGCAAGUCGAACGAGUGGCGGACGGGUGAGUAAUGUCUGGGAAACUGCCCGAUGGCGGGGGAUAACUACUGGAAACGGUAGCUAAUACCGCAUACCAUCGGAUGUGCCCAGAUGGGAUUAGCUAGUAGGUGGGGUAAAGGCUCACCUAGGCGACGAUCCCUAGCUGGUCUGAGAGGAUGACCAGCCACACUGGAACUGAGACACGGUCCAGACUCCUACGGGAGGCAGCAGUGGGGAAUAUUGCACAAUGGGGGCAAGCCUGAUGCAGCCAUGCCGCGUGUAUGAUGAAGGCCUUCGGGUUGUAAAGUACUUUUGGCAGAGAAGCGUUAUCCGCAGAAGAAGCACCGGCUAACUCCGUGCCAGCAGCCGCGGUAAUUC